rnacentral:rRNA from 1 species
GACGAACGCUGGCGGCGUGCCUAAUACAUGCAAGUCGAGCGUAGGAAACUGACGGAACUCUUCGGAGGGAAGGCAGUGGAAUGAGCGGCGGACGGGUGAGUAACACGUAAGGAACCUGCCUUAAGGAUUGGGAUAACUCCGAGAAAUCGGAGCUAAUACCGGAUAGUUCAACGGACCGCAUGGUCCGCUGAUGAAAGGCGCUCCGGCGUCACCUUGAGAUGGCCUUGCGGUGCAUUAGCUAGUUGGUGGGGUAACGGCCCACCAAGGCGACGAUGCAUAGCCGACCUGAGAGGGUGAUCGGCCACACUGGGACUGAGACACGGCCCAGACUCCUACGGGAGGCAGCAGUAGGGAAUCUUCCACAAUGGACGAAAGUCUGAUGGAGCAACGCCGCGUGAGUGAUGAAGGUUUUCGGAUCGUAAAACUCUGUUGUAAGGGAAGAACACGUACGAGAGGAAAUGCUCGUACCUUGACGGUACCUUACGAGAAAGCCACGGCUAACUACGUGCCAGCAGCCGCGGUAAAAC